UUAGAUGUAGUACUCGGCCU
rnacentral:miRNA from 1 species